CAGUGGCGAACGGGUGAGUAACACGUGGGCAAUCUGCCCUGCACUCUGGGACAAGCCCUGGAAACGGGGUCUAAUACCGGAUAUUACCUUCCCCUGCAUGGGGGUUGGUGGAAAGCUCCGGCGGUGCAGGAUGAGCCCGCGGCCUAUCAGCUUGUUGGUGGGGUAAUGGCCUACCAAGGCGACGACGGGUAGCCGGCCUGAGAGGGCGACCGGCCACACUGGGACUGAGACACGGCCCAGACUCCUACGGGAGGCAGCAGUGGGGAAUAUUGCACAAUGGGCGAAAGCCUGAUGCAGCGACGCCGCGUGAGGGAUGACGGCCUUCGGGUUGUAAACCUCUUUCAGCAGGGAAGAAGCGAAAGUGACGGUACCUGCAGAAGAAGCACCGGCUAACUACGUGCCAGCAGCCGCGGUAAUACGUAGGGUGCGAGCGUUGUCCGGAAUUAUUGGGCGUAAAGAGCUCGUAGGCGGCCUGUUGCGUCGGUUGUGAAAGCCCGGGGCUUAACCCCGGGUCUGCAGUCGAUACGGGCAGGCUAGAGUUCGGUAGGGGAGAUCGGAAUUCCU
rnacentral:rRNA from 4 species